ensembl:lncRNA
GGGGGGAAGGGGCGGAGCCUCCCGGCCAGGGGGUGCUGGCGGCUGACAGAAAGAGCCGGGGCAGCGGGCGGGGGUGGCGACGCUGCGGGCCGGGCAGGGGGCCAGGCGUGGCGGGAGGAGCGCGCGCAGACACGGGACGCUGACAGGCGGGGAGACACACACACACGGGGGCUGACAGCCGCGGGGGCAUACGGGGUCGGAGGGCCGAGGCUGGCGCUCACCUGGCAGCGGUGGCGGCGGCGGCGCCCGCGGCCGGGCCGCUCUCCGCGCGCUCCAGGCCUCCCUCCCGGCUGGCGAGCGACCGGCUGGCCGGCCGGCGCAGACCGCGCGGAGGCGGAGGCGGCGGCGACGCCGGAGCCGCGGACGGCUGGGCGGCGGGGACGCAGCUGCACCAACCGACUCCGGGCCGCUCGGCUCGGCCCGGCCGCACUCGGAGGCGCUCGGCUCCGCUCGGCCCCUCUCGGCUCGGCUGGGGGCGUGGCCCGAGGCCCCCCGCCCAGGUCGCCUCUGGCGCCUGGAGGGGCGGGGCUUUCGUGCGGGCGCAAGCCCCCUGACGUCGCAGAGAGGACCUUACCCUGGGCGCAUGCGCGGGCGUCGCUCCCGCUUUUCUCGGCGCGGAGGCUGAGCCCGGCAGGGAAGGAGGGGGGACCGGGGGCGGAUGCUCCAUCACCGGAGGUUCCUGGCUUUUGUACUCCGUGUCCUGGGCUUUCUAGAGAACCACCAAAGAAAGGCCACGCCAGGCUGCACUUUCAAAAGGAUGCUAGCUGGAUUGGGAACCCUGAUCCUUGCCCCGCCGCUCUCUUCUCAGUCCAGUAUUUCCCAACAAGCAUCGCCUGGGAGUUAGUUUUCCUUUUAUCCCACAAAAACUUUACCGCAGUUUUUUUUCUCUCCUCUGUUUCUUAACAAGAAGGACGACUUCUGAUGACUGCUUUCCGUUAAAUCUUCAAUUGAGAACUUUCAAGCACAUCAGUUAGCCCCCUCAGCCACAGCCAUAGACCACGCUUGAGGAGGUGACAGCUCCAUCAGUCCGGGUCCUGGAGUGAGAAAACACAGCAUAAUGACCCAAGCAGACAUACAGUAUAAGCAAGAAACAAACCUUUGCUGUUUGAAAAGCAAGGCCAGGGCUUGUGUGUUACCAAAGCAAAACCUAGCCUAUCCUGACAGAUGCACCUUCCUAACAUCCAGUAU